UGCAGGUGGUUUACUUGGAAGUUAUCCCAGGAAUCAGGAGGAAAGAAUGGAGGAGAGUGGGACAAGAAAGGAAGAAAGCCAAAAGUAAUAUGUCUGCUGCUCUAGGAAGUACAGGGUCAAUUCUGCAGGGAUCUCUGAGAACCUCAGAGAAGACUUCCAGAACUAUGUAUCUAAAGGAUAAGGGCCGGGACAUGGGUCUACUGAAUAUUUCCCCAGGGAACUCCCCAGACUAUCUAUACAGUAACCUGCCAGUUGCCUGGGUAGUCAUGCAGCUUGAAGAAAGCCCCAAAGCGAAAAAGUGAAAAGAUAAUGGAUGUAUUUAGAAUGGAAGUGUAUGCUACAACUAUGAAUGAAAUCUGAAGAGGAUAUGAACUCAUUUGCUGCAGCUUGGCUGGAUUCUCUGAGCAGCAGACACCAAGAUGGGAUUAAACAUGUGAGAGCUUCUAACUGGAAAAGGCCUCCAGUUAGAAAAGGAGAGGGAACCACAUAUCAGAAAAGCCAUGAUGAGUGAUAUCACCAAGAUGGCAACCUUGGGCAUAGCUGAUUUUGCUCUCCCUCAUAAGAACAGCAACGAACAACUAUUCAUGGAUAAGACACCAUUAAAAUAAUCCUAGAACUUGAAGGUGAAGCAACUCUCUGCACCACAGGGACCAAGACAGACUGCAUUAGACAGAUUCAAAACCUGAAACCCAGCCUGUUCCACACUGAUAUUUUUUAACACAGUCUUAUAAAUUCCUCAUUCCAGUUAAGG